rnacentral:rRNA from 1 species
UGAACGCUAGCGGCAGGCCUAACACAUGCAAGUAGAACGGUAACAGAGAGAGCUUGCUCUCUGCUGACGAGUUGCGAACGGGUGCGUAACGCGUAUGCAACCUACCCAUAACAGGGGGAUAGCCCAUAGAAAUGUGGAUUAAUACCCCAUAAUAUCAUAGAUUGGCAUCAUGAAAUGAUUAAAACUCCGGUGGUUAUGGAUGGGCAUGCGUGACAUUAGCUAGUUGGUGAGGUAACUGCUCACCAAGGCGACGAUGUCUAGGGGUUCUGAGAGGAUGAUCCCCCACACUGGUACUGAGACACGGACCAGACUCCUACGGGAGGCAGCAGUGAGGAAUAUUGCGCAAUGGAGGAAACUCUGACGCAGCCAUGCCGCGUGCAGGAAGACUGCCCUAUGGGUUGUAAACUGCUUUUAUAUAGGAAGAACUACAGCUACGUGUAGCUGUUUGACGGUACUAUACGAAUAAGGACCGGCUAACUCCGUGCC